rnacentral:rRNA from 1 species
UACGUAGGGUGCAAGCGUUAAUCGGAAUUACUGGGCGUAAAGCGUGCGCAGGCGGUUUUGUAAGUCUGUCGUGAAAGCCCCGGGCUCAACCUGGGAAUUGCGAUGGAGACUGCAAGGCUUGAAUCUGGCAGAGGGGGGUAGAAUUCCACGUGUAGCAGUGAAAUGCGUAGAGAUGAUGGAGGAACACCGAUGGCGAAGGCAGCCCCCUGGGUCAAGAUUGACGCUCAUGCACGAAAGCGUGGGGAGCAAACAGGAU